CAGCCGCCACGGUAAUACGAAGGGUGCAAGCGUUACUCGGAAUUACUGGGCGUAAAGCGUGCGUAGGUGGUGGUUUAAGUCCGUUGUGAAAGCCCUGGGCUCAACCUAGGAAUUGCAGUGGAUACUGGGUCACUAGAGUGUGGUAGAGGAUAGUGGAAUUUCCGGUGUAGCAGUGAAAUGCGUAGAGAUCGGAAGGAACAUCUGUGGCGAAGGCGACUAUCUGGGCCAACACUGACACUGAGGCACGAAAGCGUGGGGAGCAAACAGGAUUAGAUACCCCCGUAGUCCCUGUCUCUUAUAC
rnacentral:rRNA from 1 species